CCCUUAGAUGUUCUGGGCUGCACGCGUGCUACAAUGAAGCGUCCAACAAGAUGCGAAGCCGAAAGGCUCAGCGGAUCUUUGAAGUCGUUUCGUGACCGGGACAGUUGAUUGCAAUUAUUCGACUCGAACGAGGAAUUCCUUGUAAUCGCGAUUUAUCAUAUCGCGCUGAAUACGUCCCUGCCCUUUGUACACACCGCCCGUCGCUCCUACCGAUUGAGCGAUCCGGUGAAUUAUUUGGAGUGUCCACGCAAGCCAAUCCGUUUACGUGGGUGCGAAAUUUUGUAAACCUUAUCGCUUAGAGGAAGGAAAAGUCGUANCA
rnacentral:rRNA from 1 species